rnacentral:rRNA from 1 species
ANNGUNCNGNGUGGGGNNACGGUACCGGCGGAGGAAGCCCCUGCAAACUACGUGCCAGCAGCCGCGGUAAGACGUAGGGGGCAAGCGUUGUCCGGAAUUACUGGGCGUAAAGGGCGUGUAGGCGGUUGCGCAUGUAGCGGUUUUCAGCGUCGGNNNACCCGACGGAGGGCGGCUAAACGGCGCAGCUMNAGGGCAGGAGAGGUGCAUGGAAUUCCUKGUGGAGCGGUGAAAUGCGUAGAGAUCAGGAAGAACACCGGUGGCGAAGGCGGUNCACUGGCCUNGCCCUGACGCUKAGGCGCGACAGCGUGGGGAGCGAACGGGAUUAGAUACCCCGGUAGUCCACGCCGUAAACGAUGGAUGCGAGGUGUCGCGGGGGGUUCCACCUUGCGGUGCCGGACGUAACGCACUCAGUAUCCCGCCUGGGGAGUACGGCCGCAAGGUUGAAACUCAAAGGAAUUGACGGGGGCCCGCACAAGCAGUGGAGCAUGUGGUUUAAUUCGANGCAACGCGCAGAACCUUACCAGGGCUAGACGGGAGCCGUGAGSGCGAAAGCGCGGGGCUGCUUCGGCAGAGCGGUCGUCRGGUGCUGCAUGGUUGUCGUCAGCUCGUGUCGUGAGAUGUUGGGUUAAGUCCCGCAACGAGCGCAACCCUCGUCGGCUGUUGCCAGCGAUUCGGUCGGGCACUCAGCCGAGACAGCCGGGGACGACCCGGAGGAAGGUGGGGAUGACGUCAAAUCCGCAUGGCCUUCAUGUCCUGGGCUACACACGUGCUACAAUGGCGCCGACAACGGGCCGCGACCUCGCGAKGGGGAGCGAAUCCUUCAAACGGCGUCUCAGUUCGGAUUGCAGGCUGCAACUCGCCUGCAUGAAGCCGGAAUUGCUAGUAAUCGCGGAUCAGCAUGCCGCGGUGAAUCCGUUCCCGGGCCUUGUACACACCGCCCGUCACACCACGAGAGUCGGCCACACCCGAAGCCGGUCGGUCGAACCCCGUCAGGGGACGACCCCGURGACGGUGGGGCGGAUGAUNGGG